rnacentral:sRNA from 1 species
UAGGGAUUGCAGUGUAAAGCCCGCAGCGCGCGUUGGGAUGAGGUUGGAAAAGCGAGGACUUGUAACGGAAAGCCCGGGCCGCA